UUGUGAAAUGGCCGCUGUGGCUGGACUCUGUCCUAGAUGCCGGUGAUGCAUUGGUGAAUAAGACAAACCUUGCUCUGACUGUUGGAAGCUUAUAUUUUCAUGGUGGAAAGACAAAUAAUGAACAACUAAAUAAACGAGAUGUUUUUAGAGAGUGACAGAAGAACUAAAAUCAGGGGCAUCAGAGAAGGCAAGGUCAGUGCCAUGCAGAGUGCCCAGAGCCGGCCACAGCGGCACUGCAGGGACAGCAUCUGGUACUCAUGGGCCAGGAGUCUUCUCUGAGGUUUGGAUUUUGGGAUUUCUGUCCUCAUUUGUGUGGGUGAAUUUAACUGUGACAGUAGGAGCAAAACAGGUAUUGAAUCUACUUGGAGCCAAGAGGAGAUAAAUAAGAGACUCCAGAAAUCAGCUUGAAUAUUCUACAGAGGAUGGUCCAGUGACUAUAAAAUAAACUGGAAGCAGAAAUUUCUGUAAUUAGUUCAACUAUAGAGUCAUUAAGUGAACUAGAACAAGUUAGGAUUAAGACAUGACAUCUUCAGAAGGCAAAGAAUGUGGGCAGCCUGGAGAAGCUGGAAAAGGUAAGGAAUAGCAUUCUUCCCUAAAACCUCCAGAAAUGU